rnacentral:rRNA from 1 species
UGGGGAAUAUUGCACAAUGGGCGGAAGCCUGAUGCAGCAACGCCGCGUGCGGGAUGACGGCCUUCGGGUUGUAAACCGCUUUCGCCUGUGACGAAGCGUGAGUGACGGUAAUGGGUAAAGAAGCACCGGCUAACUAUGUGCCAGCAGCCGCGGUGAUACGUAGGGUGCGAGCGUUGUCCGGAUUUAUUGGGCGUAAAGGGCUCGUAGGUGGUUGAUCGCGUCGGAAGUGUAAUCUUGGGGCUUAACCCUGAGCGUGCUUUCGAUACGGGUUGACUUGAGGAAGGUAGGGGAGAAUGGAAUUCCUGGUGGAGCGGUGGAAUGCGCAGAUAUCAGGAGGAACACCAGUGGCGAAGGCGGUUCUCUGGGCCUUUCCUGACGCUGAGGAGCGAAAGCGUGGGGAGCGAACAGGCUUAGAUACCCUGGUAGUCCACGCUGUAAACGGUGGGUACUAGGUGUGGGGUCCAUUCCACGGGUUCCGUGCCGUAGCUAACGCUUUAAGUACCCCGCCUGGGGAGUACGGCCGCAAGGCUA